AUUGAACGCUGGCGGCAGGCCUAACACAUGCAAGUCGAACGGUAGCACAGAGAGCUUGCUCUCGGGUGACGAGUGGCGGACGGGUGAGUAAUGUCUGGGAAACUGCCCGAUGGAGGGGGAUAACUACUGGAAACGGUAGCUAAUACCGCAUAACGUCGCAAGACCAAAGUGGGGGACCUUCGGGCCUCACACCAUCGGAUGUGCCCAGAUGGGAUUAGCUAGUAGGUGGGGUAAUGGCUCACCUAGGCGACGAUCCCUAGCUGGUCUGAGAGGAUGACCAGCCACACUGGAACCGAGACACGGUCCAGACUCCUACGGGAGGCAGCAGUGGGGAAUAUUGCACAAUGGGUGCAAGCCUGAUGCAGCCAUGCCGCGUGUAUGAAGAAGGCCUUCGGGUUGUAAAGUACUUUCAGCGGGGAGGAAGGCGGUGAAGUUAAUAACUUCACCGAUUGACGUUACCCGCAGAAGAAGCACCGGCUAACUCCGUGCCAGCAGCCGCCGUAA
rnacentral:rRNA from 1 species